AAGAAUUUGGCGGUAUUUUAUUCUUUUUAGAGGAACCUGUCCUGUAAUUGAUAAUCCACGAUAGGAAAUACUUAUUUUUGUUUUCAUUUUGUAUACCUCCGUCAUCAGAGUAUCCUUUUAGGGAUUAAAUACUCUUAAUAUACAAAAUAUUAUAUGUCAGGUCAAGGUGCAAUUUAUAAAUAAGUAGAGAUGGGUUACAAUAAAGUUAUUUAAACGGAUUAUCAAUUUUAAUAUUGAUAUGAAGGCGGAUUUAAAAGUAAAAUUAUUUUAUUCAUUAAUUUGAUUAUAGCUCUAAAAUAUGCACACAUCGCCCGUCGCUCUUAUUUUAAAAUAAGAUAAGUCGUAACAUAGUAGGCGUACCGGAAGGUGUUCCU
rnacentral:rRNA from 1 species